CAUCACAGCAGAAUGAGGGUAAACUGGUUUCACAUGUUUUAUACUGGGAAGGAAUGAGGGUGUGGAGGAGUCCUCACCUCACACACACACACACACACACACACACACACACAGUCACAGAGCAGACACACACACAGAUGAAGAACUGACCAACAUCUGAAACAGGAAGGACAGCAGACCUCCAGGAACAAACUCUGCAGAGAAAAGGUAGUGCUGUCUGUCUCACACUCAUAUCUUCAGCUCAUCAUCUCAUGACGUGGAGAUGGGUCAGAACACGGUGAAGGAACAACAUGAGGUCCAGACUGAAGAUCAGAGGACCAGGAAGCAGCUCACACCUGGACCUGGACCUGGACCCAGCUGUGUGUCCUUUAGGAGUGACCGGUCCAUGCACAAAUUCAUGAACUUCAAAGGUGGUCCAUCUACUGACCCACAACUACUACUGCUGUGAUGCUGCAUGGUGAGGACCAAUGAUGCUGCACGGUGAGGACCAAUGAUGCUGCACGGUGAGGACCAAUGAUGCUGCACGGUGAGGACCAAUGAUGCUGCACGGUGAGGACCAAUGAUGCUGCAUCGUGAGGACCAAUGAUGCUGCACGGUGAGGACCAAUGAUGCUGCACGGUGAGGACCAAUGAUGCUGCAUGGCGAGGCCCAAUGAUGCUGCAUGGCGAGGCCCAAUGAUGCUGCAUGGUGAGGACCAAUGAUGCUGCAGGUCAGGAUGGCUGAAGAAGUGAUAUUAUGUUAGGUUGCAGAGUAGGGAUGCUGGGUGUGUGCAUCAGUGCAUAAUAAUAAUGUAUAUUUUAUACAUGUACUUAUAAACAUAAUAAAUGUGUUUUCAAUGUGUCCGGUCUGGAUGUG
rnacentral:lncRNA from 1 species